CUUCCCUCUCUGGUCUGAACUCUGAAGCUGUUCUGCCAUCGCCUCUCUUUCUCUGAGUUUUCAAACUCUCUCCCUCUGUCUCUGUCUCUGUCUCUGUCUCUCUCUCUCUCUCGAAAUCAUGCCCCAAUCGGGAGGCUACGAGAUCGUGCUGUUUGCCGGCGCCGGCGGCAUGGACCGUGUGACGGAUAUGGCGGACUCGGUCAGGGCGGUGGAGAAGCUUCUGGACUACAGUUUCAAGAACAAGAAGCUGUUGGAGGACGCGCUGACUCACAGUUCGUACGCCGAGUCAGAGUCGUACGAGCGGCUGGAGUUCGUCGGCGACGCCGCCUUGGGGCUGGCCGUCUCUAACUAUGUGUUCCUGGCGUAUCCGGACCUCGACCCCGGCCAGCUCUCUCUCCUUCGCGCCGCCAACAUCAGCACCGAGAGGCUCGCUCGCGUCGCCGUCCGACACGGCCUCUACCGAUACGUCCGCCACAAUGCCGUCUCUCUCUACGAUAAGGUGAGAGAUUUUGUGUUGGCGGUAAAGGAAGAGGAUGAGUCCGUGGUGUAUGGUGGGACAAUGAAGGCCCCAAAAAUUCUGGCCGACAUUGUUGAGUCUGUGGCUGCAGCUGUUUAUGUUGAUUGCCAGUUUGAUUUGCAAGCUCUUUGGGUGGUAAUUAGAGAUCUACUGGAGCCUAUUGUUACACUCGAAGUCCUCCAGAAACAACCACAGCCAGUGACUAUGCUUUUUGAGUUGUGCCAAAAAAAUGGAAAGCAGGUUGAUAUCAAGCAUUUGAGGAAAGGGGAGAAAGAUAUUGCAAGUGUUUACGUGGAUGGGAAAUUGAUUGCCUCAGGUUCGUCUGACCAGAAGGAAAAUGCAAAGCUUCAUGCUGCAAAGGCUGCUUUAGACAAAUUAUCUCACUCGAAAACUAAUGACAAAACGGGUGAUGAUAUUUACAACAGCAUCAAUGGGACAUUUGAGAUCAAUGCAGCAAAGCAAAAACUGCAUGAGCUCUGUGGGAAAAAAAAAUGGCCAAAACCAAGUUACAGAUGAGCUGGAGGCAUGCUUUUGGAGUGAAAAUAUGAACACUUAGAAGGACUAUGGUGAACAUUUCAUCAGAUGGCUUUAAGGUCAUUUGAUCUCUUGUCUAUCAGGAUAAGAAGAUGCUGGGGACUACGGUGGACAUUUCGUUAGAUGGCUUUAAGAUUAUUUGAUCUCUUAUCUAUCAGGAUAAGAAGAUACUGGAGGCAUAUUUAUUGGACAUGGGCAACUGUUUGAACCUGUGCUAAGAUGUUGGCCAUUUGAAUGUUCACUGAUGCUGCUUCAGUUAGAGCAAAGCAAUUAAACAAGAAUCCAGAGUGAGGUUGGUCCUGCUCACGAGAAGAAAUUCGCUUGUUCAGUUCAAGUUGAAACUCCAAACUGCCUGCUAUUUGUGGAAGGGGAAGAGAAAACAAGAGUUAAAGAUGCCGAGAACUCUGCUGCUUCAAUGAUGAUUCA